rnacentral:rRNA from 1 species
UGGGGAAUAUUGGGCAAUGGGCGAAAGCCUGACCCAGCAACGCCGCGUGGAGGAAGAAGGUUUUCGGAUCGUAAACUCCUGUCCUCAGGGAAGAGAAGGAGACGGUACCUGAGGAGGAAGCCCCGGCUAACUACGUGCCAGCAGCCGCGGUAAUACGUAGGGGGCAAGCGUUGUCCGGAAUGAUUGGGCGUAAAGGGCGCGUAGGCGGCUCGGUAAGUCUGGAGUGAAAGUCCUGGCUUCAAGUUGGGAAUUGCUUUGGAUACUGUCGGGCUUGAGUGCAGGAGAGGUUAGUGGAAUUCCCAGUGUAGCGGUGAAAUGCGUAGAGAUUGGGAGGAACACCAGUGGCGAAGGCGACUAACUGGACUGUAACUGACGCUGAGGCGCGAAAGUGUGGGGAGCAAACAGGAUUAGAUACCCUGGUAGU